CAACCCUCAGGCCUUAGCUAGUCUGGUGUUGGGGCAUCUGCAGCAUUGUAUGCAGGCCCUGAAAAACAGUGGCGGUGUCCGCUAACACUCCGGGCGCAGUAAUUUGUUCUCGUCUAGGAUGUGUGGUGGGCUGCUAGCCGUAAAACCCUUUUAAUUUUCAAAA
rnacentral:misc_RNA from 1 species